UAUAGAGGGUGCGAGCGUUGUCCGGAAUCACUGGGCGUAAAGGGCGCGUAGGUGGUGGCUUAAGCGUGCGGUGAAAGCUCGGGGCUCAACUCCGAGUCGGCCGUGCGAACUGGGCUCACUGGAGCAUAGUAGAGGCAGGUGGAAUUCCGGGUGUAGCGGUGGAAUGCGUAGAGAUCCGGAAGAACACCGGUGGCGAAGGCGGCCUGCUGGGCAGUAGCUGACGCUGAGGAGCGAAAGCAUGGGGAGCGAACAGG
rnacentral:rRNA from 1 species